GUUCUCAUUGGCCUGGUUUCCCCCUUGAGACUGGGGAUGAGGAAAAUCAAACAGCAACUACCAUUUCCUGGGUGUCCUGGGUGUUUACAGCAGGCCCCUUACUAGGGAUUAACACAAAAACAACAGCGAUAACAAAUCUCAUUUAAACCUCACAAAUAUAUGUAAAACAAUACCACCCCUGUUUUACAGAUGUGAAAAAGGAGGCCCAAAGAGAACUCAAGCAAUUUGCCCUAAAUCAUAUCCCUAGCAGAUGGAGAGGUAGGAUUCGAACCCAGAAUUCUUAACCAGUACCCGACAGUUCUUCCACAAUCUUAACAAUUACCCUCUACUGCCCUUUGGGCCCCCUGCCCUCAGGAGCCUGGUCAGCCAAGACUCACAUCCCCAGGUGAGUGGCAACCACCAGAAGUGGUUGUCUUAGUGCUACUGCCAUUUUUUUUCGUUUUCUUCCUCUUUAUUCCUGCCAAACAUCAGGGCUGUUCCUCUGCUGAUAUUCUCUCAACUUUGGAAAAGAAGAGCAGUAAUACUCAUGAGAACUGCAAGCCCCUACAGUCACAUCGUACGUUACAGUUUUUACAAAAUACUCUUAUAUACCAUCUGAUUUAAUGCCACCAACAACUGUACAAGGUGUUGUCACAAUCACUUAGUGACAGACAGGGAUUGAUAUGAUGGCUACAAAAAAAAAGGCAAUAAUGAAACUUAAACUCAGUCUUCUGAUCCAAGCUCUGGGGUUUUGCCAUGAAUCAGCAGCUGCCAGGGACCAAAACCAGAGGCAGAGGUAGAAAAGUAAACAUGAAAUAGGCAGGAACUGUACACUGUGCAGUUUAGAGUCACACAUCCUCACACGUCUGUUAGAGUAAGAAGUGCACCAGCACCUCUUAAACUUUUACAUCAAUGUAUCUUCAUGGCAGAAGGCAGCCUUUCUGUUAAAUCUGGGAAUUUAUCAGAAAGAGGACAACCCAAGCCUCAUUUCAGAGAGAAGUCUGGUAUACUCUUAGAAAUCUAUGUGACUGUCACCCCUAAGUAUAUUAUUUUUUCUCUUUCAAGAGAAUCAAGCGAAACUGAUGCUUCAGAAAGAUGCCCCAUAUUUAUCCUGUGCCACGCAAAGUACCCUAGGUUGACAUGAGAUGAGGAAGAUUCAAGCUGUCAAGUUCAGUUUCCCAAGAUCUGUUCCACAGAAGAUGAGCAGAUCUCACUCCAGAGACCACUGACUGAAGGGCACUCUGGUCUCAGAACCAUGGAGAACUCAAAUACGAGAAAUUCUACUUCUAUGAAUUCAGUCAUAAAAUGCUUGCUCGAGUCCAUUAAAAUGUAUAUAUGAGGAAAUUCACCUCUGGGGUGGCAAUGAUUAACUUAAUAUACAUCCAGCUAUUAAAAAUGAUGAUGCCAGGAUAUAUUUACUGCCAUAGAAGCAAGCCCAAAAUAUAGAGUGUUUGGUAAACUUCACCAUGUCUAUAUGUCUGUGUCUUUGCACCUGGUGGUCUCUGCUUGGAAUGAUGUCUCAAGGUUUUAUUCACCUGGAAAGAAUUCCUACUCACCCUUAAAGACUCAGCUUAAAUAACCCCUUCUCUGGUAAACCUUUACAUUCUCCCAUUCUUUCAGUAAGAGUUGAGAAUUCCUCUACUCUUGAAAUGUUUGUGCCUCUAUUACUAUGUAUCAGGCAGUGAACUAAGCGUCUAGGAUAGAAAGAUGAAACGGUAGAACCUGCCCUCAUGGAGCGCAUGGUCUAGUAUGGAAAACAGCCAUAUGAACAAAUAACCACACUAUAAUAUUAAAUGCAAUACCAAAAGGGAAAUGUAUUGAAUAUUUGACAUGUGUCAAUUACCUUGUUAGAUACCUUAUUAACAAUUAUCUAUGAUCAUAUUAGAUACGUAUUUGAAUUGGACAGAAGGCCAUGAAACUCUAGGACUGCUAGAGUUUGUUAUGCUCUCAAUUGUCUUCUAAAGAAACUGUCUCCUAAUGGUUCUUUCUGAAUAUGCUAUAGUCAUACAACUAUUGUGCAACUGUAGCAUACACAAAAAGCAUAUCUGUAGCAUACUCAUGUGACCAAUAAUGCAUAAAACCAACCUUACUUCUUUGGCCACAAGUAACUGGACCAAGGCUCAGUGUUUCAGCUAAGGACAACAUAUAGGUUGAACUUCAGGGACAAUCGCCAAGGACAUGGCAUGGCUCAAAAUUCUCUCUAAUAGGGGCCUUCCGUUUUUAGAAGGUGACAGGCUAACCCAAUCAGAUAUUCUCUCUUGGAAAAUACAAAUGUUGGGUGAACAAAGGAAAAGAGGGCAGGUUUUCAGAGCUCAAAUCCUAUCCUAAAUACUGCUAAAUUAAUGUUCUGUGAAGUUUUGAAAGUACUAGGGCCAAGAAACAAUAUGGCUACUUAGAUGACUUCCCAUCCAAGUUUACAUUCGGCCCUCAUUACCAAAGGUGAUAAGUGUGUGCCUCUUCCUUGCAACCCAUCAGGGUCUAACACAUCAUAUCGCCACUUCUGAAAUUAGGAAAUAGGCUCAGAAGUCCAAGAGCUUGACCAGAGUAAUUCACUUGGUAGGUAGCAGAACCAGAAUUCAAAGAGCAAGUCGGCGUGAUUCUUCUCCAAUAUCCUGCCAGUUACAUGGGCAAGUGGCCUCAAAAUCAACAAAAGACAAGUAGAGGUUGACAUGUGUCAAUGGAAAGAGGCUCAAAAGGAAGAGUUUGUACACAAGAAUAGAACAGAAACGUUCUGGAAGUAUGUCUGGGGAUGUGAAGUAGGAAGGGGCACACCAGGUUUCACCUUGGUCAAGUGACUGUCUAAUUCCCCCGAGCUCCAGACUCAGCUAUCUGUCUUUCUCACUCUAAUAUAAAAUCCACAGGGCAGGACCUUAAUCUCUAGCUUGUUCACCACAGAUUAAAGCAGAGUCUGGCUUAAUAGUAAGUGCUUAAUAAAUAUAUGAAUGAAUAAAUGAAUGAACAUUCCACAUUGUUGGGGGAAGGGGUUAUCAUGAACCAGACCCUAGCAGUCACUUACAAAUACAGUUGAUCCUCAUUAUUUGUGGAUCCUAUAUUUGCAAAUUUGCUUACUUGCUAAAAUGUGUUUGUAAUCUCCAAAUUAAUACUUGUGGAGCUUUCAAGGUGAUUCAUGGACAUACACACAGUAGUGAAAAAUCUGUCACUCCUUAUGCACGUUCCAAGCUAAGGUCAAAUAAGGUGACCCUGGGCCUCCUUGUUUCAGCUCUCAUACAAAGAUGACCCAAGGACAGAGGCAACAGAGGGCAGUGCAGGGUAGUGCAAGAAGCUCUGGCUCUAGGACUAAUUGGACGAGGUCUGAAUCUUAACUCUGGCACCUGUUAGUGAAGCAGCCUCAAGCAAAUCACUUAAUGCUUCUGUACUUCCUUUAUUGUUUUGUAAAUAAAGAAAAUUCAAUCUACCAAGAUGAGUUGUUUUUAGGAAUUAAGAUUAUAACCUAUGUGAGAUAUGUGUAUAUGUGCAUAUUUUCCCUAGGAACAAGGGUUUAGUAUUUCUUUAAUUCAGUGUUCUAGGCAACUUUACAGAAUAUAACUACUGCAAAUAACGAGAAUUGACUGUAAUUAUAAGGACAUAACAGAGAAGUAGACACAACAAUUAUUUGGAUGAGGUAGAGGCAGGCUUCAAGAAGAUUUUGAAGAAAUAGAAUUUACCAGGCACAUAAGGUAUGGAAAAGGCUUGCAAGGAGAGAGAAUGGCACCUACAGACAGAGGUCCAGAGGGCGGGAAAAAAAGGUCGGUUCAGGAAAUGGCACUUCAGGAAGUCUAGAGCAGUAGAACAUGAGGCCAGACACGGUGCCAUAGUGCUUCUGCACCCUGUGUACACCCUGUACUGCAGAACCUCACUCUCUGCAUUUAAUCUUGGUUUCUAGUUCUCUCUUCUAUUAAACUGUGAGCUCCUCAA
rnacentral:lncRNA from 1 species